GACGAACGCUGGUGGCGUGCCUAACACAUGCAAGUCGAACGGAGAAUUAGCAAUAAUUCUUAGUGGCGAACGGGUGAGUAACGCGUAGACAACCUGCCCUUUAGAUGGGGACAACAGAUCGAAAGGUCUGCUAAUACCGAAUAUUGUUUGAGAAACGCAUGUUUCACAAACUAAAGAUGGCCUCUAUUUAUAAGCUAUCGCUAAAGAAUGGGUCUGCGUCUGAUUAGCUAGUUGGUGAGAUAAAAGCUCACCAAGGCAACGAUCAGUAGCCGGUCUGAGAGGAUGAACGGCCACACUGGGACUGAGACACGGCCCAGACUCCUACGGGAGGCAGCAGUGGGGAAUCUUCCGCAAUGGACGAAAGUCUGACGGAGCAACGCCGCGUGAGUGAUGAAGGUUGUCGGAUCGUAAAACUCUGUUGUUAAGGACGAAUGUAUAGAUUGUGAAUAAUGGUUUAUAAUGACGGUACCGCCAAAGGAAGCACCGGCUAACUCCGUGCCAGCCGCCGCUGUAAAAC
rnacentral:rRNA from 1 species